CUCUCUUGCUGCCCCCACGGAUUCAGUUUUCAUGCCCUCCCCAACUCCAAACGCUGGUGGUUGGACAGGAACUAAAGCCUUCCCAGUGCAAGACGCCUCGGUGCCCUGUGCUUCGUCAGGCUGACACAGGAUGUUAUCUCUCCUUUUUCAGAAGAGUAACACGGUACUUGAUGCUCUGUAGAAAUCCAAGCUCCACACGGUCCCCAAUGGAGGAGUUAGAGAAAGGACUGAAGGAGCCACCAACCAAUGAGUACAGAUGGAGGGACCCAUGGCUCCAACUGCAUAUGGAGGGACCCAUG
rnacentral:lncRNA from 1 species